rnacentral:tmRNA from 1 species
GGGGACGUUCAUGGAUUCGACAGGGGUCCCCCGAGCUCAUUAAGCGUGUCGGAGGGUUGUCUUCGUCAUCAACACACACAGUUUAUAAUAACUGGCAAAUCAAACAAUAAUUUCGCAGUAGCUGCCUAAUCGCACUCUGCAUCGCCUAACAGCAUUUCCUAUAUGCUGUUAACGCGAUUCAACCUUAAUAGGAUAUGCUAAACACUGCCGUUUGAAGUCUGUUUAGAAGAAACUUAAUCAAGCUAGCAUCAUGUUGGUUGUUUAUCACUUUUCAUGAU